rnacentral:rRNA from 1 species
AGUAUUUUGACUAUACAAAGGUAUUGAAAUAAGACUUUAAUUGAGUGCUAAGAGAAUGGAAUUUCAUAAAAUUUCUUUUUUAAUUUUAAAAAUUGAAAUUAAUUUUAUAUGUGAAGAAACAAUAAUAAAAAUUAAGGACAAGAAGACCCUAAGAAUUUUAAAGAUUUUAAUAAAAUACAAAAUUUUAUUGAAAUCUUUUAAUUGGGGCGAUUAUUAAAUAUUAAAAACUUUAAUUUUUUUAAAAAAGAACCAAUAAUAUUGGUUAUUUGAAAAAAUACUCUAGGGAUAACAGCGUAAUAAUUUUUGAUAGUUCUUAUAGACAAAAUAGUUUGCGACCUCGAUGUUGGAUUAGGAUUCUUUUUUAAUGAAGAAGUUAAAAAAAGAAGUUUGUUCAACUUUUAAAAUCCUA